ACUAAUACGGUGGGUGAUAAGAUUUACUUCAAUAGCACCUGACCUCAGAUUUUGCUGUCAAUUAUGUCUCUAAAGUUUCUAAAGUUCAACAGUAUUUCCUUGGGACUCUUUACCGUAAGAGCUCAGAAAAGCAACUACUUUUCCCCAAUAGCAUGAUCCAUAUGAGAGGGCUUAUUAUUUUUAAGGAGAAAAAGAAAGUAUCAACUCCUGGUGCUAAUGAAAAGGAUUCCUAUGGAGACACUUUACAAUCUGUGAUAAAUAAAGCCCUAAAAUGUGUUUAGAUGCCCCUGAAGUUAGGUUUUCUGACUAAAAUUAAAGUUGUGCCUCCAAUUUAAUUUAAAAAAAAUAGGCAAGGUAUAAAUCUCCAACUGAAAAUAAAUCUUUGUUCAAAUGGUGACUUAAAUUCCAAUGGAAAUGUUUACCAUCUAUUUUGCAUCUGUUUUUAUAGUAACUAGUGAUGAUGAUGCUUCCUUCAAAGAAAACAAGGAGAUGAGAUGAGCUACUGGUUGAUUCUGGACUAGGUUAGGGAAAUGGCCAUGAAGGUGUGUUCCCUUUUGUGGCAUCUUGAAGAACAAAUGCUUGAAAUAAAUGGGAAGUACAAGAUCCCACAAAGUUUCUAUUCACAGCAGACAGCACGACUAAGGUUGAGAUCUUUUCCUUCAGAUCAAGCUAAAAAAAACCUAUUUUCAGUAGAGUUUGUGGUUGGUUAAACACAUGUGCCACUCACAUAGCUCGCACUCUCAAACGUGUAAGCAAUUUCACCCAUUUUAACUCUAUGCUACAUUCAUCAAAUAACUGAGUGAGAUUAUCUCAAAAGAGUUUUGAUGUGGAUGAACUUUUUAAUUAAAAUCAUACAUACAAAAAAUACCAUUGUUAUUCUGGAAAAGGGUCUAUUUUAAUUGAGUUGAACAUGGAAAGUUAGUGUAACUUUUUCCAAUAACUGAGACCAAAUAACUAGUUAGCUUCCUAGGUUUUAAAUUUUUAAUCAGUUUUCUAGGAAUAUUCUCUCUGUUUAACUUUCCUUAUCUUCCUCUGGGGGAUGUAAUGUUUUUCUAACUAUGUACCUUCUAUAACACUGAUUACUCUCGAAUUUGUUUUUCUACCUAUGUGGACACUGUUUACAAAGGCUAAUAGACCCAAGCUCUAAAGCAGCAUCCAUGUCUGACUUACUGUGGUCUUUCUUUACUUCAGUACUUUGUAUAGUGCCAGGUGUGUAGAAAGAACACAACAAUGUUUUAAAAGAAGCACACACACUGUAGCAGACUACCCACUGGUCCCCUGUCUGUAACAUCUUAUGGGGAAAAAGCUCACAUCCACAUGUCAGUAGAUGAGGAUACCAUUUCUGUGCCUUGUAUACAAAACAGUGGAGGUGCUGCUGGACAUUUUCCCAGGAACUAAACUCCUUUCUGAAUAAUGAGAAUGCCAGAGGACAGUUCUCAAGUUAACUUCAGUAGGACUAUACCUGGACUAAAUGCCCAAACAUGAGCAUUUUAAAAAUAUAUAGAUUUAGCCACCUUAUUAAACAUUGUGCUUCAACUAUCCCACAGGAUUUCUCCACCUAUAAUGUCCAGUGACAUUUGAAAAUCAGUAUGUUGCGGAGUUCCUGUCAUGGCUCAGCAAUAACAAAUCUGACUAGCAUCCAAGAGGAUGCAGGUCUGAUCCCUGGCCUUGUUCAAUGGAUUAAGGAUCUGGCGUUGCCAUGAGCUGUGGUACAGGUUGCAGACACAACUUGGAUCCCAUGCUGCUGCGGCUGUGGUGUAGGCCAGCAUUUACAGAUCUAAAACAAUUAAUAACUGGGAAUAAACUCUAAAAUAUUUUUAAUUUUCAUUUAGAGGUUUAAAUAGAAACCUAAAACCUUCUCCUAAUUUUUUAAUCCACUAUAAUUCCAAUUUGUCACUUAUUUCAAGAAAAAAAAUCAAAGAAGAAAAUAUUGUAUUUCCUCUAAGACACACAACUUACUUUGUGUCAUACCAUCAUUAAUUGUGUAAUUUAGAAAAACAUUACCAGCUGUCAGAUACCAACAAUUAUGAAAAAUAUUUUAAUUUAUGAAAUGUUAAAAUGUGAAAUAAAACUUCAUCUCAGAAUCAAUGAAAUGAGAUACUUAGCAGAGAAAAUGUAAGAGGCAACAAAUAUAGUAUGGAAAUAUAAUCCAAGAAGAAAGAAAAAAUACUUACUAUAAUUAAAACUGUUCUUGUAUGAGUCCACUUUUUUCCUGUUAUUAUCACUUAUUUAUAUAAUAAUAGCAUAAAUUUUCAAAAGUUUAUUCAAUUUUUAAGUUAUUUGCAUUGACUUUUAUGUUAAUUAACCUCAAUGGUCAAAAGAGUACAGUAUUGUAUAUGCCUAGAAAUUAGUAACUCUGGUUCCCUCCAUGGAGAACUACGUAGUAGAACACAUUAUAAGAAAGAGAAUUUUCACUGGGUCAUUUAGUAUGUUUUGAACAGAGUGCUGUGUGCAGGUAUUAACUAUAUAAAUUAAAAAAUAAAAUUACUAAGAAGAUAUGGUACAUAUGGAAUACUGCUCAGCCAUAAAAAAGAAUGAAAUAAUGCCUUUUUUAGCAAGAUGGAUGCAGCUAUAGAUUAUCCUUCUAAGUGAAGUCAGUCAUAAAGAGAAAGACAAACACCAUAAGAUAAUCAUUUCUAUGUGGAAUAUAAAAUAUGGCACAAAUGAAUCUAUCUAAGGAAAAGACACAGACCCACAGACAUAGAGAACAGACUUGUGGUUGCCAAGGGGGAGGGGAAAGGGAGUGGGAUGGACUAGGAGUUUGGGGUUUGUAGAUGCAAACUAUUACAUUUAGAAUGAAUAAGCAAUGAGGUCCUACUGUACAGCACAGGGAACUAUAUCCAAUCUCUUGAGACAGAACAUGAUGGAAAAUAAUAUGAGAAAAUGAAUGUGUGUAUAUAUAUGUGUGUAUGACUAGGUCACUAUGCUGUAAGGAGAAAUUGGCACAACACUGUAAAUCAAUUACACUUUAAUAAAAAUUUUAAAUUAACAUAAAAUGGACUCUUUUUUAAAAAAAAUUGGGGGAAUACAAUAUAAUAUGUAGAGAAUUUGAUUUAUCUAAUCCACUGGUUUAGGGAAAAAAACUGUAAAUAAGAGUCAUCAGCCUAGACGCACUGCAGCCUUCACCCAAGUUUAGAUACCACUGAGGAUCCAUGAUGUGUUAUUUCAGAAGAGAAAGUACUUUUCCUUUAAGAAACAACAUCCAUCCUGAGGUUUGCAAGAAGAACACCCACCUCUUUGCAGGAGAAAUAUUUGUCGCCCCCUUUCACGGAAGACAUCAAUGGGCGUCUUUAGUAGAAGCAGAAUUUGCCAUUUAAAAUAAGAUUGUAAUUUUGGUUUUUAAGAAAGCAUUUAUAUUAUAAGAAGGCCUGAUUUUUCGGACAAAAUCAUGUAACAAUUUACACAUGAUAGUUUUCGGAGGCACUCUUGGAUGUCUAAAUGCAUAAAGCAGAAAAUGUUUUUAAGGGUCACAUAUACAAGUUUAAAAGUACAGUUCUGUUUGUACCAAAUCUGGGGCCUCAGGGAUGCCAUGAGAGCCCCAGCCUUUAACCAUCCAGCAGUUACCUGCUGUGGUUAGGAUCCCACUUAAAUGAAGGUUUAAGACAAAUUUUCACUCUUGAUUUUCCACCAAACUGCCUCAAGCUGCCUGGAAGUCUCUGCUUCAGAAAUUUUUCAAAUUUGAACCAUAGGUGGAGGUGGUGGAUGAAGAUGACUGAACUGACAGAUCUGUGUGGGAAAGCACGUACUGUCAGACUCUCUUUAUAAAAUAGGGGGAAGGCACGUUAUAAAAUGGGAAAGUCUGAUUCAACAACAUAUGGAUUCAACAAAAGACUCAAAGUGAUGUUUUUAACCAUUCUUAUCAUCUUAAAAGCUACUCUCAGCCUCUGAUUCCCAAUCCCCUCCUAACGUUUUGCUGUGAUGUUGUGGCCGAUCAUCCCUUUUCACAGUAUCUACAGCAUGUAACCAGCUGGAACAUGUACAAUAGAACGUCAGUUCCUAUGUUACGGGCACCAGCUCUCUUACCAGAACACUAUCCAAACAUUGACCACAGGAAUCCAAAAUAGCACUGCAAAGAGAAUCUGGCUCAAUCUGCACUGAGUAUAGUUAUGAACUUUCCAUUGCCUUCCUGCCAUUAAUUGAAACAUGGAAAACUUUGGGGGAGGGGAUUUUUGCAGGGGUGGGGUAGAGCAAGGAAUCAAUAGUGUUGUCUUGGGCAAGGUUAACUUUGAGAUAUCUAUCAGAAAUCAAAGUAGACAUGUCAGGUUGGCCACUGACUCUGGAGCUCAUGGGAGAAGCAGCCUAGAGAUACACAUUUGAGAGUGAGCAGUGCAGAGAUGGUAUUUUAAGCUCUGAGCCGAAAGUGUGAGUAAAGAAAUGGACUGAGGACAGAGCUCAAGGGAUCUAUAACCUUGCAGGGACGACAGAGGAAGAGAAGCCAGCAAAUGAGACUCAGAAAGAAUAGCCAAGAAAGCAAGAAAUUAAAAUCAAUUAAAAUAAAAUUUAAAACACUGUAUAAUUCACACAGGCCUAGAAAUGAAGUGGUUCAUGUAGGAAGAUACUGCCAACAAUGUUUAAGUUCUGGUGAGAUGGGCAGCAAGGUACUGAUAAGGCGUAGUGUAGUUGUUUAGAAAAGAAAUCCUAAACCAGACUGCCCAGAUUGAAAUCCUGGCUUUACCACUUACCAACAGGAUAACUUUGUCAAGUUAUUUAACCAUCCAGUGUCUGUAUUUAUAAAAUGGUCUUAUAACAGUAUCUACCUUUUACAGGUGAUUGUUGAAAAUUAAAUGAGUUAAUAUAUGUUAAGUACUUAGAAUAAUGUCUGAUGUACAUAGUAAGCUUCAUAAAUGUAUUAUUGUUUAUAUCAUCAUUAUUAUAUUUGGCGCUGAUCAAAUGUUGACCUUCAUAGAAGCCACUUUAGUGGAGUAACAGACUGAAACCUACUUGAACUGGAAUGAAAAGAUAUGAGGUGAAGAAAAACAUAAUGCAAAAAGAAACACCUUAAAGUAUGAAGGGAAUGGAGGAAUGGUUGCAGGAUGGCACGAGCUGAAAGGGAGAUUUUUGUGCCUUUAAUUAAAAAUGAGAGGUAAUAAUACCUCUUUAUAUGCCACAUGGGAAUUAUCCAAUAAAAAGGGAAAAAAUUCCAGAAAUAGAUGGAAAAAGAUAACUGCAGGAGUCAGGAAUUUAAGCAGUGGAACCAGGGUCAAAAUGUAUUUAUUUUCUCUAAGUGUUUGGAGAAAUGAUCAAUUGGAAAAGGUUGCCGGAUAUUUGAAAAGAAAGAGGAAAGAGUAAAAAUAUUGUCUUGAAGGAGGUGACUUAAUUAGCGAAGGGGAAGAAGAUGGCCUGGCACUGCUGAGUGUCUAUUUCAAAUAAAUUUACCGAAAGUCAAGUCAGCACUAUUCCAAAAUAUCCUUUCACAAACACUUCCAGUGCUCCAUACAAAGGAAACACAUCAUAUAUUUCUCCCAUAUUCUCACCAUUUCAGACAAGCCUAUAUAUAUUGACUUAUGAAUAUGAUUUUUUUAAAACAUAGGGAGACAUAUAAUACAUUUAAAUACCUUAUUAUUUAAUUAGAACAUUUAUUUUUUACACUGGACCAUGUAAUUUCCCAAAGAUGAUAAUUAUUUUUGAAGUAAAUUAAUGUUAGAUUCAUAUCCAUUUUGAGAAUGUAUUGCAGGAUACCAAUGUUUAGAUGUCCCUUAGACACUGAGCUCUGAAAAAAGGCAAUACUUGCUCAUGUGAAUUUGAGAAAGAUUCUAGAACUGCAUUCUGAUAUGUUUUCUCUUAAAAAUGACCCCAGAGUACUUGCAAUCUUUGCUCCGUCUGCCACUAUCGUUUGUGACUCAGAGGUUGAAAGUAGAGCAUUAGCUUAGUCUUUAUAAUUCCUAUGUAUGUGGAACUUAUAAUUUUCCAGAAAUAUAUGAUUCUGCUAGAUUUUUAAAUAGCUAAAACACUCAGUCAAAUCAUUCAAUGAAAUCUAGAGAGUUAUUAGAGACCUCAAAGAUAUUUAUCCCAAUCUUUUCUUUCUCUUCUUAUAUUACCUCCUGACUUUCAUCUUCUGUAUGUAUUUUUAUUUUGUUUCAUUAGAACCUAAAAGUGCUUUCAUCUGUACAUCAAAGAUACUACUUCAUCUAGAACAGGUUAUAGUUAAACUACAAGACCUCUGAAUAUCCUUCAGCAGUGAUUGGCAAUCAAGAAUCAGAGUAUAUUGGACUUUUAUAUUUAAAUAGAAAAACAUUUUAAAAGGUGAAGAAUUUUUUUUAAUACUGGAAUUGCAUACA
rnacentral:lncRNA from 1 species